UGGAGCCUGCGGCUUAAUUUGACUCAACACGGGAAAACUUACCAGGUCCAGACAAGAUUAGGAUUUACAGAUUGAUAGCUCUUUAAAGAUUUUUUGGAUGGUGGUGCAUGGCCGUUCUUAGUUCGUGGAUUGAUUUGUCAGGUUGAUUCCGGUAACGGACGAGACCCCAACCUACUAACUAGCCCUGGUUGCUUUGCAGCCAGCUGUGCUUCUUAGAGGGACUCUCGGAAUGAAACCGAAGGAGGUGGGGCAAUAACAGGUCUGUGAUGCCCUUAGAUGUCCUGGGCCGCACGCGCGCUACACUGAUGCAUUCAACGAGCCUACCCUGUGCCGAGAGGUAUGGGUAAUCUGAGAAACUGCAUCGUGAUGGGGCUAGAUUAUUGCAAUUAUUGAUCUUCAACGAGGAAUGCCUAGUAAGCGCGAGUCAUCAACUCGCGUUGAUUACGUCCCUGCCGUUUGUACACACCGCCCGUCGCUCCUACCGAUUGGGUGUGCUGGUGAAAUGUUCGGAUUGAUCGCCUUUCCGUCAGGGAGACGUUUGAGAAGUUCAUUGAACCCUCUCAUCUAGAGGAAGGAGAAGUCGUAACAAGGUCUCCG
rnacentral:rRNA from 1 species